UGCUGUCUUCUACCUUUACAGAUCUGCACAAUGCAACAAAUCUGAGGUCGCGUUCUUUAUCUGGAACAGGACGGUCUCUGGUGGGCUCGUGGCUGAAACUGAACAGAACAGAUGAAAACUUUCUACUCUAUGCACACUUAACUUACAUCACUUUGCCAUUGCAUCGAAUUUUAACAGAUAUCCUGGAAGUGCGGCAGAAACCAAUUCUGAUGACAUAGCAGAGAUCGGGCACAGCCUUGGAGCCUUGUUGCCAAGUGCCUAACCUCAGCAGUUUUCUGUGCUAACACUACCAUCUAGUGUCAGGAACAUAAACCUCCGCAGAAAAAGGGAAGUCAAAGAAUACCAGCCGAUCAAAAGUGCCUCUUUCUUCCUUCCUCUGCUGUCAUACACCAUAUGCACACUUGCAGUACAUCACUUGAGUGUUUCCGACUGGAAGAAGACUUUCAACAAAACAAAAGAAGGGGCUGUGUACGAAACGUGUCGUUGCUUUAUGAACAGUUUAUUACUCUGUUUACUUUAUAACUAAGAAACCAACAACAUGUACAGAAUGUGUUAAACUUUGUAUUCUUUGAAAGAAACAAUUUCAUAAUGAUGUACUAAUGAGCGCUGUUCCAUUGACUCUUGCCCAUACUCUCCUUGUUGGAUUGGCUUUGUGUGUGUGAACGUGUGUAUGUCUUGAGACUGAAGGGAUAAGACGAAUUCCUGCUGAGGGAGGAAAAGGGAAAAGAUGCUAUAAAAACACAUUGCCAUUUGGUUAUGUACAGUGAGUGGGUUAGGUCAGAGAUUGAAAGAGGCUUAAAAUGUUCCCAUUUGUUCAUGUGUCAGUGUUAGGACAGGAGAACUCUGCUGACAAAUUCAGUAUCUACCAAAGAACAGCAACAUUUUCAUCCUCAAGAACUGGUGAAGAAACUGAGCCAGGGAAAAGAAGGCUAAAAUGUGCUGCUAUAGUAAAGCUGAGUUUCAUAUCCACUACUAAUGCUGCUUAUCUCUUUUAGCUGAGUCCAUGUGAGUCAGAGGCUAAUGUGGAAAAACUGGAAACCUCACAUGGACUCCAGAAACUUAAAAUCUUAUUGAUAACCAACAUCCUCCUGCAUGCACUGGACCAUAGUACAAAAAGUUGUCCUUGUGGUAGUGUUUGUGGCCAAGGAGGGCAUGAGAGCUAAUUAAUGUCUGGGCAGCUUCUCCAGAUUCUUCUUUUCCUGGUCACGUUCUGCUGUACUGUUACAUGCCGAAGCACAAGGAGUUCUCUUUCAAGGCAGAAGGUUUAAAUGUGAUCCUGCUCUGAAAAGUGACUAAAAAUGUCAUAGUGGGAGGUUUGAAAGUUGUGUCAGGAGCUCUCAGGAAAAAUGCCUUAUGUUUACAGGUAAAAUGCAGCUUUCUCAAAACAGCACAACUGCUGUCCUUGACACGUGAAAUCUAAGAAAUGAGAUGUUGAGUCUACUGCAGCUGGAUUCACCACAUCGAUGUGGGAGCUAGCCAUAGGUCACUUUAUUUAUAGCUGCCUAACUGGUGAAGCAAAGCAUGGGAUAGCAUGUUACUUAGAGUAUGAGGCACUCUGAUAUACGCACAAAGAUCCAUAGAGAGUGGAGGUGCCAUUUUUGUCACUUUUUGGACACUGAGCACCUGAACUCUAAUGCUGGUGCCAUACUUACCAACAUGAUGUGUGCUCUGAGCCUGGGUCUUUUGUCUCCCUCAAACUCGACCUUUCCCAAAGUGCUGUGUUAUUCUCUCAAUAGCAUCUGAUGACUUAACCUCUCAGAUAGGACUUUCUGCUUUUUUCCUCAGACCAAGUUCCAUGGGAAUAGCUCCACUUCUGCAUUAAAGAUAGAUUAACUGUCAUUCAGCCCAACGUGAUGAAUCCAGUGUGGUAAGGAGGUCUUUUCUUGUUUGAGGCUAGACCUGGGAGUAGUCACCUUUGUCCAGAGUGAUGGCAUUUCUGAAACUGGCAGCAUGAGUGUAUAACAGGGAAAUCUGACCAUUUUCUGCUUGUUGCAGAUGUUUUAUGACAGCAUUAGAAAAAAAAAACAAAACAAAACAACUUUGUCAUUGCCAGCACAGCCACUUUGCAUGUUGCAGACUGAGUUUUGCUCUGUAGGAGUAUGCACUUUGUGUGAGGCUGUUCAUGCAGUCUGACUUGAGGCAUGCAGGUGAGAUAUCUGGGCCAUCUUGUCAGAGAGGUGGACUCCCGAAAAAGCAACUGAAAUGUUUUCCCAGGGAACUUCAUAGGCAGCCGAGGUGCUUGCUUGAGAUCCCUAGCAGUGCACCUAAUGCCAGAUAGUGCAAAUACUCUCCCUCCCUAUGUCCAUGCCAAGAAGUCUUCAGCUAGGAGGUUGUCCUACUCAGAAGCCUCUGAAGAUGUUCCAUAUUCUGCAUUUUAAUAUUGGAUGGAAAGCAGUUUCCUUUAAAUAGUCACUAGGGAGGGAGGGGAGAGAGGGUUAGUGUUAGUACUGCUGCUGACAAUUGAUAACAGUUUGGUCAAACAGAAACAAUGAACACUGAUUGGAACCUGAGUGGUAGGUGCCUGAGUACUGCCUAGUCAAAUGUAACUUUUAAUGCAUUUUAAUACCAGUGUGUUAAAUUUGGACAGCUUGAUUUCAUGUGGUCUGAAAGACUUGAGCAGAACUUGCAUGAGAUUUGUAGGCAAAUGGCAAAAGAGGAAAGAUUCUGAAGUAGCAGAAAGGCAAUGUUAUGGAAAGGACAGUGCAAACCUCGUCUGCUAAGCAAGAAGGACUGUCUGCUUUGUUAUGUGUACGUGGAUGAAUCUGAUGUCUGGUUUUUGAAGGGCUGAACGUAAAAGUCCUGUAGAAGAAUUUAUUGAUGUAUUUUAUCCUGCUAGCAGAUAUCCAGUAUAUGCAUUGAAGACUCAACUUUUGUAGUACAAAAGGGCUACAGGUAUGCCCAGAUGGAUAUUGCUGGUAAACAGAGAUCAAAAAAUUUAUUGAAUGUCUGGUACUUUUGGGAGCAAAUUAGAUUUACUCCGUUCUCAACUAUUCACUCUUUAAACAACUGACUUAGAAUUCUUGUGUGUGAUGAAUUUCCUUACUUUGUUAUCAGGUGAGAGGGGGAAAAAUCGUGUAUUUUAUUUUGCUUUUAAGUAAUCCCUAAAAAUUUGUAAUGUAUUAUCCUCAUACAGACAAACUGACAGGGAAGAGGAUACAAGUUUUGUCUGGGUCAGGGUGGCACAGCUGGGCCUUUAGCUUGCUAUUGCACUAUACCAAAAAGAAAAGGGAAUGUUAGUUAGAAACUUCUCACCCUUUUAAUUUGGGGGGGAAGGAGGGAGGUAAAUUCUAUGCUCUGAAGCACUAAACCAAUAGAUUUGGGCCUCUGUUGGCCACUUAAAUUGCUGAGAAAUGAACUGGAAUGUUCUGCAUGCUGUAAGGACUGCAGCAAUGUAUGGCUGUUGAUGUCCUGACUGUUGUAGUGUGACGGUUUUCAUUAUAUUUAUGUUGAUGCUUGACAACAGCUCUAUCUGAGAAGGCAGCACUGUUAACAAACUUGUGUUGCUUUGCAGAAUCUUUUUAUUUAUUUACAGAAACUCACCAUCCUUCAAUACCGAGUUAGCUUCCCUCAUCCUGUCCAUUCACUCCCUCUGGGGACCUGAGGCUUACCGCUUCAACUCUUCAUUGAUGUUGCGUUUGACAUCUGACAAUAUACAAGGUUGUAUAUUUUUUCAGCCUGCACAGAUUUUUCACUCUUACAAAUUUAGCAUGUAGAAAGCCUUUGAAUUGUAAAGAAAGCUCUUAAAUUACUUGUUUUGUAUUAGCAGAUUAUUGCUUUGCCUUAGAGACCACAGUGUUUGUAAAAAUCACAUUCUCUUAGUGCCAGCCAGCGCAGGAUGGGAUCCAAGUCUCCUUUGAAAAGAAGCCAUUUCUAGAAAUUCAGCAGAUCUUUCAGCUGUCUUGGCAAAUCCAGUUUGUGUGGGUUCAUGUUCCUUCUUUUUUGUUCUCUUAGUCUUCGUUCUUUACAAGGCUUGAGCAUGUUGGGAUGUGAAUCUGUGUUACCCAGUUUUUCAUUUCUGGGCACAGUGUGCUUUCCUGAAAAGAGAGUUGUUUGCAAGAGUGAUUUUUGAGCAUACAAUGUUUUGCCUGAAGUGUAUUAUUUUACCAUGUUUUAAUUUAACAGUUGGGUCCCUGGUUUUGCAGACAGAUUUCUUCUGGCAGAUCCUCAUGCGCAGAGUCCUGUGCUAGUCACUGAGGUUCUCUAUAGACAUGGAGUCUGCAUAAAGAGUCUACAUGUUUAAGCUAUUGAGCUGCUUCUUGCCAAUCACGAAUGUUUCACUUCCCAGGUGAUUGCUUGCCCUGUAGUCUAAAGCUUCCCCUUAUUAAAGAUGUAAAAUCUUUAAAAGUGCCUAAGUCCUGUUGUUACCCAAUGAGGUUUAAGAAUGAAUUUUUAUUUACGAACAGAAUAUGCUUAAAUUCUGUGUGGUGUAUAGCAGUGUCAGGAAAUAAGUUUAUAAUUCUUGGAAGAGCUCUCUAUCUCCUACAGACUCGCCCUUCCUGUUAGGUUCUCAUGGUCUUCAGAGGUCAUGGCUGAAAGCUCUGGAAAAUUGAAAACUUGCAAUCAGAGCAGUUGGAUGUCUGUGAAUGCCUUAUCUUGUCCUGUGUGAUAUGACUGAAAGUGUAUGGCGUUGGUAUGUAACAAAAAUUCUGUGUCAAAAAUAGGUGCAGUAGAAUCCAGUGAAAGGCAUUGUUAAAUAAGUAGCUUUCACACCAAAUGUUAUGAAACAGUAUUUUACACCAGAACAUAGAUGUUUGGAUGCUUGGUCAAGAAAAUGUAAGACUGCAAGAAGGUUACAGUGUUGAAUGUUCUGUGUGUGUGUGUGUGUGUGUGUGUGUGUGUGUGUGUUUGUAUAUAUAUAUAUAAAUACUCUCAGCUUAAUUUUAUCAAACAAACAUGUUGCAUGGUUUGUUUUUUGCCUCAUUGAUCAUCAGUGUUGAUUAAAAGAUGCUGGGUUGGAAAUCUUGCUGGUACUGUAUUGAGCCCUAGAAACAAAGUGCAAGGAGAACCUUUGUGCACCAAAAACAGAGUUGAUUUUGCAUAUGGCAGCAGCAAAGAAGGUGUUGGACCCUGCAGCCAAUAAACAGACCUCUUAAAUGAC